GACAUAUCAACAACAAUCCACCUACCCACUGCCAACGGAUACCGAUAAGAAGGGAUGGAGGGAGAGCACAAAGGGAAAAUACCAGCGGCCAUCUCAUCUCAAGACCUUCUGGCAUCACAAAAUGGCCGACUAACGCUGCAGAUAGCAGUACUGGAUGAUUUGAAAAGCCAUAGUCAUUGACCCUGCUGGUGAUUGCUCAUAGGCUGAAGACCAUUGAGAGGGCAGAUCAGAUCAUUCUGAUUGACCGGGGGACUGUCCAGAAGCAGGGCACUCACCAGGAGUUGAUGGACAGGAAGGGGAGCUACUACAAACUAAGAGAGAGACUGUUCACCGAAGACGAUGUGCCACAUUGAC